AUGCUAGUAAGGACGCCGCUACUCGACACACUCGUUCUUCGUCGAUAGAUAGCUCCAAGCUCGCACGUCGCCGACCCAAUCACCACUACAUCACCUUUCACCUACAUCUGCAUCACCUUUCACCUACAUCGACACCUGUAUCGACUCCAGAGGCAUUCAAGGCGGCACCAAGCUCUCGUUAGAUUGAUUUCCACCAAACUCCGCAUACUUAGAUGUAGUGAUCAUGUAUAGACUAUGGUUAUGUGGAUUAGAGCUCAUUAAGACCGUUCUCAAGUUGAGGCCAGUAAGGCCGCCCCUACCCGACAAUCUUUGUUCUUUACCGACAGAGAGCCCCAAGCUCUCACGUUGGCAACCCAAUCACCACUACAUCACCUACACCAACACCUAUAUCAACUCCAGAGGAAUCCAUGGCGGCACCAAGCUCUUAUUAGAUUGAUUUCCAUCAAACUCCGUAUACUUAGAAGUAGUGAUCAUGUAUAG
rnacentral:lncRNA from 1 species